UAGAGCUGAUUUCCUGGAAGGAGGUUUGGGGAAAAGAUCAUUCCAGGAGAAGGCAGCUUCCCAGGCUCUGAGGUUGGGGACCGUGGCAAACACCGUACGACACGGACACGCUGAGGCAGGAGUAACGCUCGGGCCCCGGCAACGGUGGAUUACCCAGAAGCCGUGACCUGAUGGUCACUGGGGGGAACCCCUCUAGGCCGUGAACUUCUUGCGGGCAGGAAUCGUUUCUACCAACCGCUGGAUCCUCCUCUCCCAAGUGCUUAGUACAGGGCUCUGUACACGGUAAGUACUCAAUAAAUCCCACUUUUCAAUCUGGAAAAGCAGCCCUAUUUCACCACAUCCAAAAUACAAAACUGUAGGCGGUAAGUUCCCUGGGGACAGGGGAUCAGCUCUACCCACUCUGUUGCAGUGUUUUUUCCCAAGCACUCAGUAAAUACCAUUGUUUGAGGACUGCCCGCACCCAGAACAGCACUCUUCCACCAUCCAGGAGAGAAAAGUCACCGUCGCAUUUUCUCAGAAGGGUGAGUAUUGUUUAAAUACCUUAAAGCAUCCUACCGUUUCCUGUCCAGGAGAAAAACAGGCACACGAGGCAAAGGAUACGUGACGGGUGACGUGUUCCCAAUGAUCCAGUAAAUGGACAAGUUUACCAUAAAGGCCACCACACCAGACAGCAGCACCAUAAGCUGUGGAUUAGAGAAUGAGGAUUUGUCAUUCGGCCAAAGGAUGUUUCCUCAAAGCUGUUUUGACUUUCACAUAGGCGCCUCUCUGUGAGCCAGAGAAAAGCUGGUAUUCUGGUUUGGAAAAGCAAAAUUGGCAAUGGGAGGGAAUAACGGGUAACAGUCAAGUCGUGCUAGAUCCUGGAAAUUCAGCAACAAUUUCUGUAAUUAAACUGGUUCGGAGUCCUGGACUCAAUCAAUGGCAACACAAAAGCUUAUUCACAUUCAUCACUUUGGGGAAAAUAAACAUUUUUGUUAAGUGA